UACAGAGGUGGCAAGCGUUGUUCGGAAUUACUGGGCGUAAAGGGCUCGUAGGCGGCCAACUAAGUCAGACGUGAAAUCCCCAGGCUUAACCUGGGAACUGCGUCUGAUACUGGAUGGCUUGAAUUCGGGAGAGGGAUGCAGAAUUCCAGGUGUAGCGGUGAAAUGCGUAGAUAUCAGGAGGAACACCGAUGGCGAAGGUAGACACUCUGGGACGUGACUGACGCUGAGACGCGAAAGCGUGGGGAGCAAACAGG
rnacentral:rRNA from 1 species